rnacentral:rRNA from 1 species
ACGGCGCACGGGUGCGUAACGCGUAUACAAUCUGCCUUUCACAUAGGGAUAGCCCGAAGAAAUUUGGAUUAAUACCUAAUGGUAUAUAAGAGCGGCAUCGUUUUUAUAUUAAAGCUACGGUGGUGAAAGAUGAGUAUGCGUUCUAUUAGCUAGUUGGAGAGGUAACGGCUCCCCAAGGCGACGAUAGAUAGGGGUUCUGAGAGGGAUGUCCCCCACACUGGUACUGAGAUACGGACCAGACUCCUACGGGAGGCAGCAGUGAGGAAUAUUGGACAAUGGUCGGAAGACUGAUCCAGCCAUGCCGCGUGCAGGAUGAAGGUCCUAUGGAUUGUAAACUGCUUUUGUAAGGGAAGAAUAAGGAGUACGUGUACUUUGAUGACGGUACCUUACGAAUAAGCAUCGGCUAACUCCGUGCCAGCAGCCGCGGUAAUACGGAGGAUGCGAGCGUUAUCCGGAAUCAUUGGGUUUAAAGGGUCCGUAGGCGGGCUGAUAAGUCAGAGGUGAAAGCGCUUAGCUCAACUAAGCAACUGCCUUUGAAACUGUUAGUCUUGAAUGAUUGUGAAGUAGUUGGAAUGUGUAGUGUAGCGGUGAAAUGCUUAGAUAUUACACAGAACACCGAUAGCGAAGGCAUAUUACUAACAAUUUAUUGACGCUGAUGGACGAAAGCGUGGGGAGCGAACAGGAUUAGAUACCCUGGUAGUCCACGCUGUAAACGAUGGAUACUAGCUGUUUGGAGCAAUCUGAGUGGCUAAGCGAAAGUGAUAAGUAUCCCACUUGGGGAGUACGCACGCCAGUGUGAAACUCAAAGGAAUUGAC